rnacentral:lncRNA from 1 species
GACAUGGGCGAGUUUCUCAGACUUGAGAAUAAUUCUCAUAUUUCGAAGACAGCCUUUGUAAUUAGUGUCGGUCAACCUAUUUGUAUCGAGGAAUCAGACUAAGGAAUUUGGACUCGACAUGGUUAUCUGCAGAGAGUACUGUUUCUAGUUAGAUUUUGUACUUAUAAGAUUAUUUAUUCUAGAAACUUUAAAAAUAAAUAAAGACUC